rfam:Camelus ferus unplaced genomic scaffold scaffold850, whole genome shotgun sequence.
GAGGAUAUAGCUCAGUGGUAGGGUGAGUGCUUAGCAUGCGUGAGGUCCUGGGUUCAAACCCCAGUAGCUCCA